rnacentral:rRNA from 1 species
GACGGAGGGUGCUAGCGUUGUUCGGAAUUACUGGGCGUAAAGGGCGCGUAGGCGGCCGCUUGCGUCGGAUGUGAAAGCCCGGGGCUCAACCCCGGAACGGCAUCCGAUACGGGGCGGCUGGAGACCGGGAGAGGAGGGUGGAAUAGCCAGUGUAGAGGUGAAAUUCGUAGAUAUUGGCUGGAACACCGGUGGCGAAAGCGGCUCUCUGGGACGGUACUGACGCUGAGGCGCGAAAGCGUGGGGAGCGAACAGG